UACCCACUGGAGCUCUACCCUGCCUU
rnacentral:piRNA from 1 species